rnacentral:rRNA from 1 species
AGGGAAUAUUGCGCAAUGGGGGAAACCCUGACGCAGCGACGCCGCGUGAGUGAUGAAGGCCUUCGGGUUGUAAAGCUCUGUUGUACGGGAAAAAGUUCUGAUUGUACCGUACGAGAAAGGAUCGGCUAACUUCGUGCCAGCAGCCGCGGUAAGACGAGGGAUCCUAGCGUUGCUCGGAAUCAUUGGGCGUAAAGCGGGUGUAGGUGGCUUUAUAAGUCAGGUGUGAAAGCCCAGGGCUCAACCCUGGAAGUGCAUUUGAUACUGUAAAGCUUGAGUGUUGGAGAGGUUACUGGAAUUCCUGGUGUAGUGGUGAAAUACGUAGAUAUCAGGAGGAACAUCGGUGGCGAAGGCGGGUAACUGGCCAAACACUGACACUGAGACCCGAAAGCGUGGGGAUCAAAC